rnacentral:lncRNA from 1 species
GGGGAUGCUCGCCUGCCGCCUGCGCUGCGAGCUGCAAAUUCCCUGCGCGGAGGGAGGGUCUCCCGGACUCGGGGCGACCCCGGGGCUGCCCGUCCCCGCCCGCCUGGGAGCCGAGCGAGCCCGGCCCGCGGUCGCGGGUGGGGCCGCCGCACCUGAGCCCCGCGCGGGCCUCCUGGCGGCGGAAGGGCGGGCGGAGGGCCGGCGCCCGGGGGUGGGGUGGGGGGACGGCCCGGGGACCACGUGCGGCCGCCGCCCGCCGAGGGCCCCCGAGCGGCCCCGGAGCCGCCCGCCCGCCAGGGGCGCCAGCGCGGACGCAGCCCCGCGGCCCGCCCGCACUUUCCUGAAACUUCGGCAGGAGGGACCUGCCGCCGCGGUUGGCGCGGGAGCCCCGGCGCGGCCCCCCACCUUGCGCCGCCCCGCGCGGGCGGAGCGGCCCCGAGCGCUGAUGAACAAUCCAGAAAGAGCGUGAGGGCAGGUCCGCCCGCGGCGCGCCGGGCUCCCAGGGGAGCCGCAGAGCCCGAGGACGUGGAGAUGAUCGCGCGGCCCCAGAGGACCCCUGCGCAGUAAUGCCAGCAUGAUGCUACCCUCAGGCCGAAUGUGGAGCUGUCACUGGAAAUGGAAGCCAAGUUCUCUUUUGUUCUUCUUUGCUUUAUAUAUCGUCUGUGUUCCUCACUCAGGUUAUUUUUUCUUGACCUGGAAUAAAUAAGUGUUGGACCUAAAGAGAGAACUAAAAUGAGGGAGCCUAAACUUGUGUCAAAGUUAGAACGCCGUCACCUUUUA